UGGUGGAGCGAUUUGUCUGGUUAAUUCCGAUAACGAACGAGACUCUAGCCUAUUAAAUAGCUCGCCGAUCUGUCUUGUCGGCGUCAACUUCUUAGAGGGACAAGUGUCGUAUAGGCACACGAGAUUGAGCAAUAACA
rnacentral:rRNA from 1 species